UGCCUUUAUAGAGCCCCUUGGCUCCCUAAAUAGAAGACGGUGAAAGAUUAAUAACAGGGGUACAAAAAGAGGGUAUAUAACAAGUUUCAUGUUACUGUUGUCUUCAUUCAGCUUAAUUCGCGCACUCACCUCUUUGGCAAGCGUCUGCUUGAAACAAUCAAAAGUACCAGCAUAAAGAGGGGAUUGGCCCGGAGCUGGUUUCGCCUGGGUUUGUAUACGCACCUAAGAACAGUUACACCGGACAGCAAAUUGCUAAUUAAACCACCUACUACAAAAGGAACAGAUGGCAGGUUGUGACCAAAACUUCACGGUUAUUUGGAUUUCCAGAGUUCUAUUGGUCUUAGAGUCUAAACUGGUUGGUGAAAACUACAGAACUUUCUCUUGUGCCCGUCUCUAACCAUGCUGGAAUAUUUCCUUCACUGCUCUCCAUGGACAUCAUUUAUGUUCUCUUGCUCCAUUGCAAUCUGUUGCCUUUUGAUCAUGUCAGACGAAAGCUCAUCACUCCAAAUAUAGAACGAUGGGACAACAAGCACUUCUUCAAUGUUCAGCAAUAAGGUGUUUCAUUUAUACUAGGCAGGUUAACCAGUUUACUUUCAGUUUUUUGGGACCAAUGCUGCUGGAAUAAGACCAUAAAGUCUCUGAGCAUGCAGAUGUUGUGAGAACUUGAUUAUUCAUUUCCAAAAGUCUUGUGUGUACACUUCCUAAUAAAUAAA